GACGAACGCUGGCGGCGUGCCUAAUACAUGCAAGUUGAGCGCUGAAGGUUGGUACUUGUACCGACUGGAUGAGCAGCGAACGGGUGAGUAACGCGUGGGGAAUCUGCCUUUGAGCGGGGGACAACAUUUGGAAACGAAUGCUAAUACCGCAUAAAAACUUUAAACACAAGUUUUAAGUUUGAAAGAUGCAAUUGCAUCACUCAAAGAUGAUCCCGCGUUGUAUUAGCUAGUUGGUGAGGUAAAGGCUCACCAAGGCGAUGAUACAUAGCCGACCUGAGAGGGUGAUCGGCCACAUUGGGACUGAGACACGGCCCAAACUCCUACGGGAGGCAGCAGUAGGGAAUCUUCGGCAAUGGACGAAAGUCUGACCGAGCAACGCCGCGUGAGUGAAGAAGGUUUUCGGAUCGUAAAACUCUGUUGGUAGAGAAGAACGUUGGUGAGAGUGGAAAGCUCAUCAAGUGACGGUAACUACCCAGAAAGGGGCGGCUAACUACGUG
rnacentral:rRNA from 1 species